rnacentral:rRNA from 1 species
UACGUAGGGUGCGAGCGUUGUCCGGAAUUAUUGGGCGUAAAGAGCUCGUAGGCGGUCUGUCGCGUCUGCUGUGAAAACCCGAGGCUCAACCUCGGGCCUGCAGUGGGUACGGGCAGACUAGAGUGCUGUAGGGGAGACUGGAAUUCCUGGUGUAGCGGUGAAAUGCGCAGAUAUCAGGAGGAACACCGGUGGCGAAGGCGGGUCUCUGGGCCGAUACUGACGCUGAGGAGCGAAAGCGUGGGUAGCAAACAGG